rnacentral:rRNA from 1 species
CCUACGGGUGGCAGCAGUGAGGAAUAUUGGUCAAUGGACGAGAGUCUGAACCAGCCAAGUAGCGUGAAGGAUGACUGCCCUAUGGGUUGUAAACUUCUUUUAUAAAGGAAUAAAACGAGGCACGUGUGCCUUUUUGCAUGUACUUUAUGAAUAAGGAUCGGCUAACGCCGUGCCAGCAGCCGCGGUAAUACGGAGGAUCCGAGCGUUAUCCGGAUUUAUGGGGUUUAAAGGGAGCGUAGAUGGGUUGUUAAGUCAGUUGUGAAAGUUUGGGGCUCAACCGUAAAAUUGCAAUUGAUACUGGCAGUCUAGAGUACAGUUGAGGUAGGCGGAAUUCGUGGUGUAGCGGUGAAAUGCUUAGAUAUCACGAAGAACCCCGAUUGCGAAGGCAGCUUACUAAACUGUGACUGACAUUGAUGCUCGAAAGUGUGGGUAUCAAACAGGAUUAGAUACCCUUGUAGUC